UACGAGGGUGGCAAGCGUUGUUCGGAUUUACUGGGCGUACAGGGAGCGUAGGCGGUUGGAUAAGCCCUCCGUGAAAUCUCCAGGCUUAACCUGGAAAGUGCAGAGGGGACUGUUCAGCUAGAGGAUGGGAGAGGAGCGCGGAAUUCCCGGUGUAGCGGUGAAAUGCGUAGAUAUCGUAAGGAAGACCAGUGGCGAAGGCGAGUCUCUGGACAGUUACUGACGCUGAGGCACGAAGGCCAGGGGAGCAAACGGG
rnacentral:rRNA from 1 species